ACGCACGCUGGCGGCGUGCUUAACCCAUGCAAGUCGAACGGAAAGGCCCUGCUUUUGUGGGGUGCUCGAGUGGCGAACGGGUGAGUAACACGUGAGUAACCUGCCCUUGACUUUGGGAUAACUUCAGGAAACUGGGGCUAAUACCGGAUAGGAGCUCCUGCUGCAUGGUGGGGGUUGGAAAGUUUCGGCGGUUGGGGAUGGACUCGCGGCUUAUCAGCUUGUUGGUGGGGUAGUGGCUUACCAAGGCUUUGACGGGUAGCCGGCCUGAGAGGGUGACCGGCCACAUUGGGACUGAGAUACGGCCCAGACUCCUACGGGAGGCAGCAGUGGGGAAUAUUGCACAAUGGGCGGAAGCCUGAUGCAGCAACGCCGCGUGCGGGAUGACGGCCUUCGGGUUGUAAACCGCUUUCGCCUGUGACGAAGCGUGAGUGACGGUAAUGGGUAAAGAAGCACCGGCUAACUACG
rnacentral:rRNA from 1 species